rnacentral:rRNA from 1 species
GAUGAACGCUGGCGGCGUGCCUAAUACAUGCAAGUCGAGCGAACAGACGAGGAGCUUGCUCCUUUGACGUUAGCGGCGGACGGGUGAGUAACACGUGGGUAACCUACCUAUAAGAAUGGGAUAACUUCGGGAAACCGGAGCUAAUACCGGAUAAUAUUUCGAACCGCAUGGUUCGAUAGUGAAAGAUGGCUCUGAUAUUCAUUAUAGAUGGACCUGCGCCGUAUUAGCUAGUUGGUAAGGUAACGGCUUACCAAGGCAACGAUACGUGGCCGACCUGAGAGGGUGAUCGGCCACACUGGAACUGAGACACGGUCCAGACUCCUACGGGAGGCAGCAGUAGGGAAUCUUCCGCAAUGGGCGAAAGCCUGACGGAGCAACGCCGCGUGAGUGAUGAAGGUCUUCGGAUCGUAAAACUCUGUUAUUAGGGAAGAACAAACGUGUAAGUAACUGUGCACGUCUUGACGGUACCUAAUCAGAAAGCCACGGCUAACUACGUGCCAGCCGCCGCCGUAAAAC